UUAUGGCCUACUAAAAAGCCGGAUAAUACGAACAACAGUUUAAAAUCCAAAGAACUUGGCGGUAUCUUAUAAAAUCAGGGGAACCUGUCACUUAAUUCGAUAAUCCACGAAAAUCUCAACCUUUAUUUGAAAAACAGCCUGUGUACUGCUGUCGUCAGUAAACCUUUAAAAGUGUUUACAACUAUAUUAACUGUAUUCACGUCAAGUCAAAGUGCAGCUCAUAUAAAGGGGUAGAUGGGUUACAAUCUAAAUACAGAUACGGAUGUAUUAUAAAUAAUUACUGAAGGUGGACUUGAUAGUAAUGAAUUAAAAUCAUGAAAUUUUAUCUAAGAUAUGCACACAUCGCCCGUCACUCUCGUCUAAAGAUG
rnacentral:rRNA from 1 species